rnacentral:rRNA from 1 species
UGUGGGUGGCGAGUGGCGGACGGGUGAGUAAUGCAUCGGGACCUGCCCAGACGUGGGGGAUAACGUAGGGAAACUUACGCUAAUACCGCAUACGUCCUACGGGAGAAAGCGGGGGAUCGAAAGACCUCGCGCGGUUGGAUGGACCGAUGUUCGAUUAGCUAGUUGGUGAGGUAAUGGCUCACCAAGGCGACGAUCGAUAGCUGGUCUGAGAGGAUGAUCAGCCACACUGGGACUGAGACACGGCCCAGACUCCUACGGGAGGCAGCAGUGGGGAAUAUUGGACAAUGGGCGAAAGCCUGAUCCAGCAAUGCCGCGUGUGUGAAGAAGGCCUUCGGGUUGUAAAGCACUUUUAUCAGGAGCGAAAUACUGCCGGCUAAUACCCGGCGGGGCUGACGGUACCUGAGGAAUAAGCACCGGCUAACUUCGUGCCAGCAGCCGCGGUAAUACGAAGGUGCAAGCGUUAAUCGGAAUUACUGGGCGUAAAGCGUGCGUAGGCGGUUCUUUAAGUCUGCUGUGAAUCCCGGCUCACUGGGAAUGGCAGUGGAUACUGGAGAGCUAGAGUGUGAUAGAGGAUGGUGGAUUCCGGGUGUACGGUGAAUGCUAAGAUCGGGAGGAACAUCAUGGCGAAGGGCGGCAUCUGGAUCAACACUGACGCUGAGGCACGAAGCGUGGGG